CAGAGUAGGAGCAGUGCGUUAAGUGUCCGGCGGAUGGGAUGUCGCCCCGGAACGAAGGCUUGCCGCGAUGCUGCUCCGCGUCCGCUGC
rnacentral:ncRNA from 1 species